rnacentral:rRNA from 1 species
GAUGAACGCUGGCGGCGUGCCUAAUACAUGCAAGUCGAGCGAACAGACGAGGAGCUUGCUCCUCUGAUGUUAGCGGCGGACGGGUGAGUAACACGUGGAUAACCUACCUAUAAGACUGGGAUAACUUCGGGAAACCGGAGCUAAUACCGGAUAACAUGUUGAACCGCAUGGUUCAACAGUGAAAGACGGUCUUGCUGUCACUUAUAGAUGGAUCCGCGCCACAUUAGCUAGUUGGUAAGGUAACGGCUUACCAAGGCAACGAUGCGUAGCCGACCUGAGAGGGUGAUCGGCCACACUGGAACUGAGACACGGUCCAGACUCCUACGGGAGGCAGCAGUAGGGAAUCUUCCGCAAUGGGCGAAAGCCUGACGGAGCAACGCCGCGUGAGUGAAGAAGGUCUUCGGAUCGUAAAACUCUGUUAUUAGGGAAGAACAAAUGUGUAAGUAACUAUGCACGUCUUGACGGUACCUAAUCAGAAAGCCACGGCUAACUACGUG